rnacentral:rRNA from 1 species
UACGAAGGGGGCGAGCGUUGUUCGGAAUUACUGGGCGUAAAGGGCGCGUAGGCGGCCACCGCAAGUCGACUGUGAAAUCUCCGGGCUUAACCCGGAAAGGUCAGCCGAUACUGCGGGGCUAGAGUGCAGAAGGGGCAACUGGAAUUCUCGGUGUAGCGGUGAAAUGCGUAGAUAUCGAGAGGAACACCUGCGGCGAAGGCGGGUUGCUGGGCUGACACUGACGCUGAUGUGCGAAAGCUAGGGGAGCGAACGGG